rnacentral:rRNA from 1 species
UACGGGGGGGGUAAGCGUUGUUCGGAAUUACUGGGCGUAAAGGGCUCGUAGGUGGUCAACUAAGUCGGACGUGAAAUCCCUCGGCUUAACCGGGGAACUGCGUCCGAUACUGGAUGACUUGAGUUCGGGAGAGGGAUGCGGAAUUCCAGGUGUAGCGGUGAAAUGCGUAGAUAUCUGGAGGAACACCGGUGGCGAAGGCGGCAUCCUGGACCGACACUGACGCUGAGGAGCGAAAGCCAGGGGAGCAAACGGG